CCUCAAAUCAGGUAGGAUUACCCGCUGAACUUAAGCAUAUCAAUAAGCGGAGGAAAAGAAACUGACAAGGAUUCCCCUAGUAACUGCGAGUGAAGCGGGAAAAGCUCAAAUUUAAAAUCUGAUAGUCUUUGGCUGUCCGAGUUGUAAUCUAGAGAAGCACUAUCCGUGCUGGACCCAUGUGUAAGUCUCCUGGAAUGGGGCGUCAUAGAGGGUGAGAAUCCCGUCUUCAACAUGGACUACCAGUGCAUUGUGAUAUGCUCUCAAAGAGUCGAGUUGUUUGGGAAUGCAGCUCUAAAUGGGUGGUAAAUUCCAUCUAAAGCUAAAUAUUGGCGAGAGACCGAUAGCGAACAAGUACCGUGAGGGAAAGAUGAAAAGAACUUUGGAAAGAGAGUUAAACAGUACGUGAAAUUGUUGAAAGGGAAACGCUUAAAGUCAGUCGCAUUGGUCAGGGAUCAACCUUGCUUUUUUGCUUGGUGUAUUUUCUGAUUAAUGGGUCAGCAUCAAUUUUGAUCAGCGGAAAAAGGCUGAGGGAAUGUGGCAUCUUUUUGAUGUGUUAUAGCUCUCUGUCAUAUACAUUGGUUGGGAUUGAGGAACUCAGCAUGCCGCAAGGCCGGGUUUUAACCACGUUCAUGCUUAGGAU
rnacentral:rRNA from 1 species